rnacentral:snoRNA from 1 species
AAGACCUUACUUCAUAGGAUCAUUUCUAUAGUAAGCUCUUCGCGAGACUCACACAACAUGUGAGACCUAUCCAGCCAUGUUGAUGAGAUGUGGCGCGGUGUCCUGAGCGUGAGAUGGGACGAUGAAUUCAGGUCAUCAGUCUUCGAUGAUCGUUCACCCGGUCCUUCUAGGCAGGGCGUGGGAUGCUGUCGCUUUUCUGAGUGGC